rnacentral:rRNA from 1 species
GACGUAGGGCGCGAGCGUUGUCCGGAUUUAUUGGGCGUAAAGAGCUCGUAGGCGGCUUGUUGCGUCGACUGUGAAAACCCGCGGCUUAACUGCGGGCCUGCAGUUGAUACGGGCAGGCUAGAGUUCGGUAGGGGAGACUGGAAUUCCUGGUGUAGCGGUGAAAUGCGUUGAUAUCGACCGGAACGCCGGUGGCGAAGGCGAGGUGCUGGACCCUUUCUGACGCUGAGGCGCGAAAGCCAGGGGAGCAAACGGG